GUGUCAGCCGCCGCGGUAAUACGUAGGUGGCAAGCGUUGUCCGGAUUUACUGGGCGUAAAGGAUGUGCAGGCGGAUAUUUAAGUGUGAUGUGAAAUCCCCGGGCUUAACUUGGGGGCUGCAUUUCAAACUGGAUGUCUUGAGUGCAGGAGAGGAAAGUAGAAUUCCUAGUGUAGCGGUGAAAUGCGUAGAGAUUAGGAAGAAUACCAGUGGCGAAGGCGUCUUUCUGGACUGCAACUGACGCUGAGGCGUGAAAGCAUGGGGAGCAAACAGGAUUAGAUACCCUGGUAGUCCAUGCCGUAAACGAUGAAUGCUAAGUGUAGGGGG
rnacentral:rRNA from 1 species